AGCAACCUACCUUAGAGUUCGGGAUAGCCCUGAGAAAUCAGGAUUAAUACCGGAUGUGGUCACGGGGAGACAUCUCCCUGUGAGUAAAGGCGCAAGCCGCUCAAUGAUGGGCUCGCGGCUUAUUAGCUUGUUGGUGGGGUAACGGCCUACCAAGGCGAUGAUGAGUAGCUGGUCUGAGAGGACGGUCAGCCACACUGGGACUGAGACACGGCCCAG
rnacentral:rRNA from 1 species